rnacentral:rRNA from 1 species
UACAGAGACCUCAAGCGUUAUCCGGAAUCAUUGGGCGUAAAGCGUACCGAUCGGUGGUUUAUAUAGUUUUGGGUAAAAGCCAGAAGCUCAACUUCUGCGUUUGCUCAAAAUACUUAUAGACUAGAGGGGCAAAGAGGUGCUUGGAACGAAUGGUGUAGUAGUGAAAUGCGUUGAUAUCAUUCGGAACACCGAAAGCGAAGGCAGAGCACUGGGUGCCACCUGACACUGCUAGGACGAGAGCGUGGGGAGCGAAUGGG